UACGGGGGGGGCGAGCGUUGUUCGGAAUCACUGGGCGUAAAGGGCGCGUAGGCGGCCCGCACAAGUCUGCGGUGAAAACCCCCGGCUUAACCGGGGGCCGGCCGUGGAAACUGUCGGGCUGGAGGCUGGGAGAGGGCAGCGGAAUUCCCGGUGUAGCGGUGAAAUGCUUAGAUAUCGUCAAGAACACCGAUAGUGAAGACAGCUAACUAAGCUUUAACUGACGCUGAGGCACGAAAGUGUGGGGAUCAAACAGG
rnacentral:rRNA from 1 species